rnacentral:lncRNA from 10 species
GUAGGAUGUAAGGAAAAGAGUACAGCUAGAGAUCAUGAAGGUUCGGGCUUAAAUAAAUGAGAAAUGGAGCUACUUUUAUGGAGCAACCUUGAGGGUAAAGAUAAUCAGGAGUUUGAUUUUGAAGAAUGUUAAUUUCAAGAUACUAAUGAGACACCCAAGUAGAGAUGUCAAGAAGGCAGUUGGAUAUGCAAGCCCAGAGUUCAACUGAGACGUCUGGCUUAGAGCUAGAAAUUUGGGAUCCAUCUGCAUAGAUUUGAAUUCUAGCUCAUCAGCUGAGAAAGAAGAGGAGUGAGGAGGAACUGGACAGUUGUGGAGAGAAGAGAAAGUAUGAAAUAGCUGUGCAU